rnacentral:rRNA from 1 species
CUACAUGUUAGGUCAUACAUGGCUUGUCUCAAAGAUUAAGCCAUGCCAGGUCUAAGCAUAAGCAAAUUACUUACCACGUCGAAUCUGCGAAUGGCUCAUUAUAUAAGUUAUCGUUUAUUUUAUAGUACCUUACUACUUGGAGUAAUCGUGGUAAUUCUAGAGCUAAUUCAUGCUAAAACAUCCCCGACUUCGGAAGGGAUGUAUUUAUUAGAUUAAAAACCAAUGCCCCUCGGGGCUCUCUGGUGAUUCAUAAUAACUUCUCGAAUCGCAUGGCCCUUGCGCCGGCGAUGGUUCAUUCAAAUUUCUUCCCUAUCAACUUUCGAUGUUUGGGUAGUGGCCAAACAUGGUUGCAACGGGUAACGGAGGGUUAGGGCUCGACCCCGGAGAAGGAGCCUGAGAAACGGCUACUACAUCCAAGGAAGGCAGCAGGCGCGCAAAUUACCCAAUCCCGAUUCGGGGAGGUAGUGACAAUAAAUACUGAUACAGGGCUCUUUCGGGUCUUGUAAUUGGAAUGAGUACAAUUUAAAUCCCUUAACGAGGAACAAUUGGAGGGCAAGUCUGGUGCCAGCAGCCGCGGUAAUUCCAGCUCCAAUAGCGUAUAUUAAAGUUGUUGUGGUUAAAAAGCUCGUAGUUGAACCUUGGGCCUGGCUGGCCGGUCCGCCUCACCGCGUGUCACUGGUCCGGCCGGGUCUUUCCCUCUGUGGAACCACAUGCCCUUCACUGGGCGUGGCGGGGAAACAGGACUUUUACUUUGAAAAAAUUAGAGUGCUCCAGGCAGGCCUAUGCUCGAAUACAUUAGCAUGGAAUAAUGAAAUAGGACGUGCGGUUCUAUUUUGUUGGUUUCUAGGACCCGCCCGUAAUGAUUAAUAGGGACAGUCGGGGGCAUCAGUAUUCCAAUUGUCAGAGGUGAAAUUCUUGGAUUUAUUGAAGACUAACUACUGCGAAAGCAUUUGCCAAGGAUGUUUUCAUUAAUCAGGAACGAAAGUUAGGGGAUCGAAGACGAUCAGAUACCGUCGUAGUCUUAACCAUAAACUAUGCCGACUAGGGAUCGGACGAUGUUAUUUAGUUGACUCGUUCGGCACCUUACGAGAAAUCAAAGUGCUUGGGCUUCCCAGGGGGAGUAUGGUCGCAAGGGCUGAAACUUAAGAAAUUUGACCGAAAGAA